UACAGAGGUCUCAAGCGUUGUUCGGAUUCAUUGGGCGUAAAGGGUGUGUAGGUGGCGCGCUAAGUCGGGUGUGAAAUUUCGGAGCUUAACUCCGAAACUGCAUUCGAUACUGCCGUGCUUGAGGACUGGAGAGGAGACUGGAAUUUACGGUGUAGCAGUGAAAUGCGUAGAUAUCGUAAGGAAGACCAGUGGCGAAGGCGGGUCUCUGGACAGUUCCUGACGCUGAUGCACGAAGGCCAGGGGAGCAAACGGG
rnacentral:rRNA from 1 species